rnacentral:tRNA from 1 species
GGGGGUAUAGCUCAGUGGUGGAGUGCAUGCUUAGUAUGCAUGAGGUCCUGGGUUCAAUCCCCAGUCCCUCUA